rnacentral:rRNA from 1 species
AUUGAACGCUGGCGGCAGGCCUAACACAUGCAAGUCGAACGAGUGGCGGACGGGUGAGUAAUGUCUGGGAAACUGCCUGAUGGAGGGGGAUAACUACUGGAAACGGUAGCUAAUACCGCAUACCAUCGGAUGUGCCCUGAUGGGAUUAGCUAGUAGGUGGGUUAAAGGCUCACAUAGGCGACGAUCCCUAGCUGGUCUGAGAGGAUGACCAGCCACACUGGAACUGAAGCACGGUCCAGACUCCUACGGUAGGCAGCAGUGGGGAAUAUUGGACAAUGGGCGCAAGCCUGAUGCAGCAAUGCCGCGUGUAUGAAGAAGGCUUUCGGGUUGUAAAGUGCUUUCAGCGGGGAGGCGUUAACCGCAGAAGAAGCAACGGGUAACUCCGUGCCAGCAGCCGCGGUAAUUC